UUCUUUGCCUGGAGGUUGUAAUGGUCCGUACAGUAUUAUGUAAGAGGAAUGUUGGAGGUAAGAGACUAACGGUGGAGCACAAAGUUUCAUUCGAAAGUACACGCUAAACCUUACCAUGC
rnacentral:rRNA from 2 species